CCCAACUCACCCUACACCCGCCCCACUCCCCUCCAAAAAGACCCUUAGUCUACUGCUGAUCAAAGCCUAAAACUGCUAUCAGAUAUUUAUGGGAGAAGAGAAAACCGUUUGUCACCUCAGCCGGCAUCAACUGCUUAGUUUAGAGUUUCUUCUCAUCAAGAGGCUCUACGAAUCCUUCAAGGAAAAUCAGUAUCAUGACCAUGAUGCAAAGGAGAAGUUGAGUAAAGAAUUAGGCCUAACAGCUAACCAGGUGUUAUGAGUUCUCCCUGGCAUAUGUUAAUUUCAGCUUCGUCCGCAUUUUCGCAACUUGUAUUUUCGAUUUUGCUUCGUGGCUGCCCUCUUUUUCCUUAGUUUCUUUUUGUCAAAUAUACAGGUCAGUAAAUGUUUUUAAAAUGCUCGUCAUUGCAAUCGUCAUUCUUCUCGCUGGGACUCAAUUAUGAGUCAAAAAGUGUUGAAAGAAUCUCCUUCCUAACCAAAUAUAAUUGGAGAACCACACUGAAUCACUAUAUGUGGUGAAGUUAAAGAUGAACAGAGUAGCAUUUCUUAUGUAAUGUUGGGGAUAAAUAUAAAGUGUGCAUUUAUUUUCUACUCUAUGAGCUAUUUACAUUACCAAUAAGAAAACAAAUCAAACAAAUUAUUAGUAACUCAUGAAAGGGGAACACUUUUAGAUGUUUAAACUUCUGAACAUUCUUCCGAUAUUGCGUUGUCUACCUUUAAAAGUGAACGGCUCAAUUCUUUUAGAGUUUGCUCCCCUAAUAAUGGAUUCUAUUGUUCCUUGAGCCUUGCUUUAAACUUGGGAAUUUUUUUUUUAAUUAUGCCAAAGAUCUUUCCUUUAUAUAAUCCACGUGAGAUAACUGUUGGGAGUGUGAGUUUAGUUUAGAUUCUGCACCCUCCUGAUAUUCUGUCUCUUAUCCACUAAGUUUUACUACUACUAUGUAAGAUGUACAAAUUAAUUUCUUUCUCAUAGAAAGUAUAUAGGUUGGUGAUGGAGAUGAAAGCUUUUGCAGAAGCAUAAGUGAUUUAAUAUGAUGAAAGUACUUGUUAUGAAAUUUCGGUGAGCAUCACAAGUCAUACACAAAUAUAACUUAAUCUCUCCGUCACCUUGUGCAUACUGAAAUUAGAGUAUCCUUUCUGCUAUUGAAUGCUUUUACUGUUAAUUUUGAAGCAUGUAUCUUACUGGUUGCGUUAUGUCUAAAUUAGUAUUCCGAGAGCUUAGCUGGUAUGUGAACCUUCUAUAUUUAUGGUCAUGUCCAUGUUUUUUUUGUUAAUUUGAAUCUAAGUAGUUUUUUUAUUUGAUCUUGCACUUGCUCAAAGCUUCUGUUUCAUGUAUUCUAAUUGCUGGAAUUAGAUACCGUCGACAGUGUUAAGGUAUUUUUAAAUCUUGGACCUAGGGAAAAGCUGGAGAAAGAGAGAAAAUAAUAAAAUUUCAGAAAAAUGGGUCAAUUCAUUGUGCUCCAUUUCGUUGGUAGUUCUUUCUGUUGAACUUGAAUUUGUUACUCAAGAAUAACAGUUAUCUUUUUGUUUUACAUAUGUGGAACUAUAGAAAAGUAGACUAAUGAAUAUUUGUGCUGAAAUUAUUGCUUUUAACCCGAUUUACAUGCUUCUCACAGUAAAAUUGUUCCAUUCUAUUUUCUUGUAUUCUUUGCUGUCCUAUUUUCUUUAUUUUGUGGCAUGGUCACCGGUUCAUCUUGCUAAAGACCAACACAUUUUUUGGAGUAGUAAAGAAUUCAAUUGCUUAGAAAUAUUUGCCUUUUCUAGAUUUUCGACUAAUAUGCAGUGACUCUCUUUAAUAUCAAAAUUUCAGUUCCGAAUCAAGGUGGGUGUACCUCAAUUUUGGCUCAUCAGUUCACUUAGAUGAACUUUUUUCCAUUUAUUAAAAAUAUUUUCCGAAUCUGUUUUAUGUUUCGAUUCCCUCUGUCUUACUUAUAUUUCAGGAGAUCAUAAACAAAAAAAAUAUAGAGAUUUGCUGCUACAAAGGAAUCGCAAGACUUCAAAAGAUAGGAUUUGGAGCAUAAAAUGCCGGGAAAGAGGCGAGACAGCCAAGACAUUGUUGUAACUUAAUGGGAAUAGAGACAACUGAACGUAUUUGCUCAAUGGAUUUCAGCAAAGAAUGUCUGCUUCAGAAAGCAUAUGGAAUUUAGUCAUAAAUAAUCUCAACAGAACAUGGAACAAGAAAGAGAGGAAGAAAGUGAGAAAAGUGGGUAUAUUGAAGAAGGAUCCUGACCAAAUGACUAAGUUCCACAUAUAAUUCUUUUCUUUGUCUAAGUUGUUGCAUUGAGCUCUGUGAUACUUGUUGUUAUAUAAUUGAAUAAAAUGCUCUCUUUUUUUGGAUCAUUUGUAAUGGAAUAAAAUGCUCUUGUGCUUAACAUUUCUGUUGACGUAAAUCUCUGGAGAUUGUUUUGAGUGACAUUAAAGAAAGAUUGAGAACUAUAAAUUAAUGCCUAUUCAUCACGUUUAGUAAAGUAAAAGCAAUAAUAAGAGGAAGAGCAGAAUUAGGAUAUAAUCUGAAGUGGAUUAAUUAAAGCUCGAAGAAUUACUUUAGAAAAAUUCAUGAGUAAACUGAAGAUUGCCUACUAACAGUAAUAUAACAAUGGACAUGUUGUCAUCUUGAGUUAAUUGAUUUAAAUUUUUACAUAGUUUUUAGUUGUCUCUUAGUUCUUUAAUUGUGUUUUGUUAAUUGAACCGAAAACGUUAUACCUAAUGGGAGUGGAGUAGUGCAUGCUAUUUCUGGAGAACUUUAUUUCUGCUUCCUAUUUCCCACAUUUUGCCUAUCAUAUCAGAUUCAGCAGCUCUUUUAAAACCAAGUUAAUAAUUUGCGCUCCUUUAAAUAAUGAAUGAGCUCUUUUUUCUCUUCUGAUAAUAAUGAAUGAGCUAUUUUUUCUCUUCCAAUAAAUAUGAAUGGGCUAAUAACCUAUUUUUCAAAGCUUGAAUCAGAUUUAACAAUUUCUUAGACAGUUAAUCGCAAAAGAAAUUAUGUGAUUCUUUAUAUACUGAUAAACACAAAGAGGGUUGCUUACUAAACACUUGAUUGAACUGUGAAAGCACUUGAUUGUGUGAUUAUUUAUGUUCUGCUUACUAAACACGUUUAUGUACUCAUUAUAACUUUCCUCUUUCAUGCAUCAGCUAACUGUAGUAACAUAUCACCUAAUAUUGUGAUUCAAAUCUUUAAGUGUUGUAGCUUUUUUACGAUGCAUAUGUUACUUUAUAUUAGAAGAUUUACAUUUCACUAACUAUGUAAAGUCCAAUUCUAAUGGAGAGGCAUUUGCUUCUUCAUAACGGUGUCUUUCAGGUUACACUAGAUUUUCUUCGAUUCUCAACAAAGUUUAACACUUUCAAGGUUGCUCAAGUUAUGGAGAUGUUGAAGGCAUAAUCCAACAAGCUGCAAGGAUCAUGUUUGGUAAAGUCAAAGUGCCGUGAAGGCUUACCUAGAAUUGAGCAUGAGAUAUCAUCUGGAGAUAAUCUUUAGUUGCAAUUUUGCAAAUAAAGAUUACUUUAGACUGCAAAUUGCUUCGCAUGGUCUAGUAGUUCUAAUACAAAUCAUAUACGAGUAAAGUGUAGCAGAUCAAGAAUUUGGAAGUUCGAAAUAUCAAUCCUUGAAAAAGUGCAGAGGAAAAAGUUGAAAUACAAGAAAUUUAUUUUGUUGGGGUGGUUUAAAGAUAUCUGAUGUACAUUGAAUGCAUUUUUUUCUACGUUUAGAAGUUGUUAAAAUAUUGUCAUACAAUUUGGAUGGUUUUAUUAUUCUUUAGUUCAUUGUAUCAAUGAUGAAGUUUCAUAUGAAUUCUGAUUAUUUAAUAUAGGUUUGAUUG